rnacentral:rRNA from 1 species
AGAGUUUGAUCCUGGCUCAGAGCGAACGCUGGCGGAAUGCUUAACACAUGCAAGUCGCACGCCCCGCAAGGGGAGUGGCGGACGGGUGAGCAACGCGUAGGAAUAUGUCCAGAGGUGGGGGACAACCCCGGGAAACUGGGGCUAAUACCGCAUGCGGCCUUCGGGCCAAAGCCGCGAGGCGCCUUUGGAGUAGCCUGCGUCCGAUUAGCUCGUUGGCGGGGUAACGGCCCACCAAGGCUACGAUCGGUAGCUGGUCUGAGAGGACGACCAGCCACACCGGGACUGAGACACGGCCCGGACUCCUACGGGAGGCAGCAGUGGGGAAUAUUGGGCAAUGGGCGCAAGCCUGACCCAGCAAUUCCGCGUGGGUGAAGAAGGUCUUCGGAUUGUAAAGCCCUUUCGGCGGGGACGAUGGUGACGGUACCCGCAGAAGAAGCCCCGGCUAACUUCGUGCCAGCAGCCGCGGUAAUACGAAGGGGGCUAGCGUUGCUCGGAAUUAUUGGGCGUAAAGGGCGCGUAGGCGGCAUGGCUAGUCAGGCGUGAAACUCCUGGGCUCAACUCAGGAACUGCGCUUGAUACGGCCACGCUAGAGGAUGGAAGAGGGCCGCGGAAUUCCCAGUGUAGAGGUGAAAUUCGUAGAUAUUGGGAAGAACACCGGUGGCGAAGGCGGCGGCCUGGUCCAUUUCUGACGCUGAGGGCGACAGCGUGGGGAGCAAACAGGAUUAGAUACCCUAGUAGUCC